GGCGUGAGUCGGGAUACAAUAAGCGACGCCAUGACAGUGCUACGAAAAGACACACAUUAACGCUUACGCUAUUCGGUAGCCAACGGCCAAUUAAUGUUUCGGCAGUGUAGAAAAAACGGUAUUUCUCCGCCAUGUUUUAGCGUGAUCUCAAAAGCUGCUGUUUGCAAUAAUUUAGUACAACUAUUGCCAACUUUAAUGGCUACCGUUUUAAAAACAUGUCAUAUUUUGGACGUUUUAACGAAAUAGUUUUAAUUUGUUAUCUGUCUUUUUUAGUUUUUUUAACGUUCUCGUGUAAUUAUAAUAAUUUAAACUAGAGUUAAUAUUUUUAAGUUAUAAUGCGAGGAUAACAUAAUAGAUACAGAUAAAUUUCAGAAAAUCAGCAAAUUAGUAGAGGUAAAUCCUAGUUAUAUUGGAUAUCUUUUAUUGAUAUUUAUAUUGCAUAUGAGAAAGCAGUCACUAAUGAACAUAAUUAGAAGUUCUAAAUAUAUUUUAUUGUAUAAUAGAAGCUAAUGAUAUAUUGAUGAUAAAUAUUGAUUUAAAUUAAUCAAAUAAAGUGGAUUUAUACUUCAUGAAAUUUGGAAAUAUAAAAUCUAGUGAUCAAUACUAAGUAAUGAAAAAGAGAAGCUAAUAAGACAACUAAAAAUAUUUCAAAAAAUCCACAAAUGGACAAGUUUUAUUAAAGUCUUAUCUUUAAAUUAAUUUAAGUGUUAUAUUAUGUACCUACAAAUGAAUUUGAUAAUGGGGAAUGAAGCAAUUUAUGAAUAAUGUAAAAAAUAAGACAAGUGGAGUAUGAAAUAAUGGUUGGUUAAGGAACAUUACCUCAAGAACAGGAAACAGUAACUGAAACUAUGUUCUUCCACAUUUAAUCUUAAUAAGUUCAGCAGUUUGAAUGUUAAUGAGAUAUUAUUAUAAACAAACUGCAUUUGUAGAUUUUGGGAAGAAUUAUAUCUUUACAAUAACGAUUAUUAUUUACAAUUGUUGUGUCAAGGAAACAAUCACUAUUUUUAUUAUCGCCCAGUAUGUAUUCAUAGUAACUGUAGGUAUCAUAGUAAUUUUAUGAAAUCAUCACAACAUCUAAUGUUAGGUUUUAUGAAUUGAACAUUUUUUUUAUAUAACAGCACACCAACAAGAUAUUGACAUUGCUGCAAAUUAACACUUACAUUUAUUAGUUAAUUAUCUACAUAUAUAAAUAUGAAUACAUCUACAUUAGGUAGUAAUGCAUUGAAUUUGGUGCACCUGUGUAUAUUCAGUAGUAAUUUGGUGCCUUAUUUUAAUAAAAAAUAACCAUAACUGAAACAUUUUUAUUUUGCUACCUGUUUGUUUAAUAUUCCUUACUAUUAGUAGGUACGGGUCAUUCAUAUAUGCAUUAUUUGUAUAUUCUUGUAAAAUAAACUAAUAUGGUUAACCACUUUAAUGGCUUUUCCUACUAAAUAAGACAUAGGUAAAUUACCAAAAAUAAAACUAAUACAUAACAUA